rnacentral:rRNA from 1 species
UACAGGGGGUGCAAACGUUGCUCGGAAUUAUUGGGCGUAAAGCGCGCGUAGGCGGCUUCUUAAGUCGGAUGUGAAAGCCCUUGGCUCAACUGAGGAAGAGCACCCGAAACUGAGUGGCUAGAGUACGAAAGAGGGUCGCGGAAUUCCCGGUGUAGAGGUGAAAUUCGUAGAUAUCGGGAGGAACACCGGUGGCGAAGGCGGCGACCUGGGUCGAUGACUGACGCUGAUGCGCGAAAGCGUGGGGAGCAAACAGGAUUAGAAACCCUAGGGUAGU